rnacentral:rRNA from 1 species
ACGGCGAGUGAAGCGGCAACAGCUCAAAUUUGAAAUCUGGCUCUCUUUGGGGGUCCGAGUUGUAAUUUGCAGAGGGUGCUUUGGCAUUGGCGGUGGUCUAAGUUCCUUGGAACAGGACAUCACAGAGGGUGAGAAUCCCGUACGUGGGCACCUGCCUUUGCCGUGUAAAGCCCCUUCGACGAGUCGAGUUGUUUGGGAAUGCAGCUCUAAAUGGGAGGUAAAUUUCUUCUAAAGCUAAAUACCGGCCAGAGACCGAUAGCGCACAAGUAGAGUGAUCGAAAGAUGAAAAGUACUUUGGAAAGAGAGUCAAAUAGCACGUGAAAUUGUUGAAAGGGAAGCGCUUGCAGCCAGACUUGCCCGCAGUUGCUCACCUAGGCUUUGGCCUGGGGCACUCUUCUGCGGGCAGGCCAGCAUCAGUUUGGGCGGUCGGAUAAAGGCCUCUGUCACGUAUCUCCCUUCGGGGUGACCUUAUAGGGGAGGCGUAAUGCGACCAGCCCGGACUGAGGUCCGCGCAUCUGCUAGGAUGCUGGCGUAAUGGCUGUAAGCGGCCCGU